UACGAAGGGUGCAAGCGUUAAUCGGAAUUACUGGGCGUAAAGCGUGCGUAGAUGGCCUGUUAAAGUCGGAUGUGAAAGCCCCCGGGCUCAACCUGGGAAUGGCAUCCGAUACUGGUGGGCUAGAGUGCGGUAGAGGAGAGCGGAAUUCCCGGUGUAGCGGUGAAAUGCGUAGAGAUCGGGAGGAACAUCCGUGGCGAAGGCGGCUCUCUGGACAUUUCCUGACGCUGAGGCACGAAAGCCAGGGGAGCAAACGGG
rnacentral:rRNA from 1 species